rnacentral:rRNA from 1 species
GACGUAGGGCGCGAGCGUUGUCCGGAUUUAUUGGGCGUAAAGAGCUUGUAGGCGGUUUGUCGCGUCUGCUGUGAAAUUUCGGGGCUCAACCCCGAACUUGCAGUGGGUACGGGCAGACUAGAGUGUGGUAGGGGAGACUGGAAUUCCUGGUGUAGCGGUGAAAUGCGCAGAUAUCAGGAGGAACACCGGUGGCGAAGGCGGGUCUCUGGGCCGUAACUGACGCUGAGGAGCGAAAGCAUGGGGAGCGAACAGG